rnacentral:rRNA from 1 species
CCUACGGGCGACAGCAGUGGGGGAUAUUGCACAAUGGGGGAAACCCUGAUGCAGCGACGCCGCGUGGGUGAAGAAGCGCCUCGGCGCGUAAAGCCCUGUCAGCAGGGAAGAAAAUGACGGUACCUGAAGAAGAAGCCCCGGCUAACUCCGUGCCAGCAGCCGCGGUCACACGUAGGGGGCAAGCGUUAUCCGGAUUUACUGGGGGUAAAGGGGGCGCAGACGGCGAGGCAAGCCAGGAGUGAAAGCCCGGGGCCCAACCCCGGGACUGCUCUUGGAACUGCGUGGCUAGAGUGCAGGAGGGGCAGGCGGAAUUCCUGGUGUAGCGGUGAAAUGCGUAGAUAUCGGGAGGAACACCGGUGGCGAAGGCGGCCUGCUGGACUGCAACUGACGUUGAGGCCCGAAAGCGUGGGGAGCGAACAGGAUUAGAUACCCCAGUAGUC